UCUAAAACCAGACUGAAGCGUUUCGAAGACAUUGUUUGACUUCAGGAAGGCAGUGAGUUGCUGCGCAACAGCUUUUUCUGAAGUUUUUGAGAGGAAUGGGAGAUUCGAUAUAGGCCGAUAGUUUUUUUAUUUUCUGGGUCAAGGUUUGGCUUUUUCAGGAGCGGCUUUAUUACUGCCUGUUACGUACACCACUUGGCAGAGGGAACGCAACACCCUGCUACAACUCAACUCCCCAUGGAGUGAAAAAGCCCCCCACCAUCCUAUCCCCAAACGAAAACCCACUCAUCCAAUCCCACUGGAGAUGGCACCUCCCAUCAGGAAAUGUUUUGAAUAUCCCCGUGGCCCCAAAGCUCCAAAAAGAAUGGUUGUUGCCUCCUCCACAUGCUCACCCAAUGUACAAAUUCUGUUGAACCGGAUCAACUGGGAUUUAAUUAUCGAUCUAAAGGUUGGCAAAGGCUGGAGCAAACUUCUUCCCCAUAGCCGUUCCAUGGAUCUGAAGUGAUGCCUUUCGGCUUGCGGAAUGGUCCAGCCACCUUCCUGAGGCUGAUGAAUCGGGUGGUCUCAGGUCUGGAAGGGUGUGCCGUGUAUUUGGACGACGUGGUCGUCUACUCAGCCUCCUGGGAGAAGCA